rnacentral:rRNA from 1 species
UAGGGAAUCUUCGGCAAUGGGGGCAACCCUGACCGAGCAACGCCGCGUGAGUGAAGAAGGUUUUCGGAUCGUAAAGCUCUGUUGUAAGUCAAGAACGGGUGUGAGAGUGGAAAGUUCACACUGUGACGGUAGCUUACCAGAAAGGGACGGCUAACUACGUGCCAGCAGCCGCGGUAAUACGUAGGUCCCGAGCGUUGUCCGGAUUUAUUGGGCGUAAAGCGAGCGCAGGCGGUUUGGUAAGUCUGAAGUUAAAGGCUGUGGCUCAACCAUAGUUCGCUUUGGAAACUGUCAAACUUGAGUGCAGAAGGGGAGAGUGGAAUUCCAUGUGUAGCGGUGAAAUGCGUAGAUAUAUGGAGGAACACCGGUGGCGAAAGCGGCUCUCUGGUCUGUAACUGACGCUGAGGCUCGAAAGCGUGGGGAGCGAACAGGAUUAGAUACCCUGGUAGUCCACGCCGUAAACGAUGAGUGCUAGGUGUUGGAUCCUUUCCGGGAUUCAGUGCCGCAGCUAACGCAUUAAGCACUCCGCCUGGGGAGUACGACCGCAAGGUUGAAAC